AACCCAUAGUGAGGGCACCUUCUCAAUAAAUCCUUAUACCUCUCCCCUGCAUCAUAUAGAGUCUCUAAGUCCAUUUCCAUGAAGGAAGAUAUAUCAUUCCUUAGCUU
rfam:Gossypium arboreum cultivar AKA8401 contig_11630_7, whole genome shotgun sequence.